rnacentral:rRNA from 1 species
UUCCUGUGACUGAGCGGCGGACGGGUGAGUAACGCGUGGGUAACCUGCCUCAUACAGGGGGAUAACAGUUAGAAAUGACUGCUAAUACCGCAUAAGACCACGGUACCGCAUGGUACAGUGGUAAAAACUCCGGUGGUAUGAGAUGGACCCGCGUCUGAUUAGGUAGUUGGUGGGGUAACGGCCUACCAAGCCGACGAUCAGUAGCCGACCUGAGAGGGUGACCGGCCACAUUGGGACUGAGACACGGCCCAGACUCCUACGGGAGGCAGCAGUGGGGAAUAUUGCACAAUGGAGGAAACUCUGAUGCAGCGACGCCGCGUGAAGGAUGAAGUAUUUCGGUAUGUAAACUUCUAUCAGCAGGGAAGAAAAUGACGGUACCUGACUAAGAAGCACCGGCUAAAUACGUGCCAGCAGCCGCGGUAAUACGUAUGGUGCAAGCGUUAUCCGGAUUUACUGGGUGUAAAGGGAGCGUAGACGGAGUGGCAAGUCUGAUGUGAAAACCCGGGGCUCAACCUCGGGACUGCAUUGGAAACUGUCAAUCUAGAGUACCGGAGAGGUAAGCGGAAUUCCUAGUGUAGCGGUGAAAUGCGUAGAUAUUAGGAGGAACACCAGUGGCGAAGGCGGCUUACUGGACGGUAACU